ensembl:lncRNA
AUAUGAAUUAAGUUUUGUAAUGAUAAUUAUCUUGAUUCUUGAGCUACGAAAGAGUAAAUAUAAAACAAAGUAGAUUUAUCACUGAUAGUAAUAGAACAGUACUGUAUUUCUUAAAAUGUUGAUCUCACUAUCACAUUUUUAGUCAUCUUAAAAUCAAGCUUGUAUAUAGAAUACAGGGCUAUUGUUUUCAGCUUUCCUGCAUUCUUUUCCCCUGAAAAUGGUACCUGUCAUUUAUUUUGGAGUACUCGAAGGGAGGAUAGAAAAAAGCUGAAAAAGCUGUCUGGUGGUGAAUGUGGGAUGGGAGAAAAAACUGGAACUUAAUGCCAGUUGGAGUUGGGAGAUAAUGAAAUCCUAGAGACUAUACAAAAGGAGGUGAAUCAGAAAACAAAGAAAUAAGGAUGCAAUUUAGAUUGGAGAACCAACUCUUCAACUACUAAAAGUCUCCUGUGACAACCCUUAAACUCUGAUCUCCCGUCUCAAGAUGUGAAAUGUUCUGGCAAGUCAUUUAAGGUCCCUCCAGACUCCCAGCUAUGAAUUAUGUGAAAGAGGUUAAGUUAUAACAAGCCUAUUUAUAUUUGGUUUUCUCUUUUAACAUCCAACAUGAGAUCAUUGGUUGUACCUAUCAAAGAAUUCAAAAUCCAACCAUUUGUUUCUACUACCUCUGCCCUGAUUCAAGCCUGUGUCAUCUCUUGCCUAGACUAUUACCAUAAACACAUUUAAGUGGGCCCCUGCUCCAUCCUUGCUUCUCUACAGUUCAUUCUCCUAGAGGUUGACCAGAAUCAAAGAAAACUCCCAUGCAGGUGGGAUAGAGCCAGAGUUGAGUGAAGAGAGAGUCAUUUUUCCCCUCUGAAAAGCAAGAAAUUCGCCCAAUGGCCAGUUUAUGAACCCUGACCUUAAGAAGCCUGCAAAAAAUGUAUCACACACCCUGCCAGCUGCUAUUUUAUGUGAGUUUACCAGUUUGGGACAGACUUCAAUACCAAAAUAAAAACCAUCAGUCACCAAACCUCUGAGAAAUACCAAGGCGCUGGGAAGAGAUAUGAAUUAUAAGUGUUCCAAAAAUUAUGUGAAAUUCCUGGAAGUUGUAUGUGUUCUGACAUGAAGUGUUGUCUGUCAUCAAAACUGAGGCUCAUACUAAAGGGACUGAACCCCAAUAUCAGAUCUGUCCUUUUCUCAGGACUAAGAAACUGAUUCAGUGAAAUAGAAGACUCUGUGAACCUGCUCUCUCUCUCCAUGGUCAUCAGUUCUGCUUUGAGUAUGUGAAACUUCCAGGCAAGUUUCAGAGGAGGGAAUUGUUGGGGCCCAGAGAAAACUGCCCAAAUUGUGCCUCAAUGGUGUAUUGUUUAGAAUUAAAGUUACUUAAGAAACAGCCAAUACAAGAGGACACUCUGACCCUCCUUCAUGUCUCCCUGGAAGCAGGAAAUCCAUCACUCAGAUGAAAGGUAUACUCCCUGCAUCUGGAGAAAGAAGGAAACCUUGUUGCCAAAAAUAGUGAAUUCCAGCCUCUAAACCUAUAUAAACAAACAUCCUUGCUUCUUUAAUUCACUACCUCAAGCCGAAACUCCAUUUAAAUUUUCCACUAACUGGACACCCCAAACCUGAGUUUCAUUGUCCUGUGAAUUCCUCACAAAUUUAUUGUUCUUUCAUUUAACAAAUAUAAAAAACCACCUGCUUUGGCCACUUACCAUAUCUCAUUUCUAUGGGACCUCUAUGCACAUGAAUUAAAAGUAUUUC